rnacentral:rRNA from 1 species
GACGAACGCUGGCGGCGUGCUUAACACAUGCAAGUCGAACGGAAAGGCCCUGCUUUUGUGGGGUGCUCGAGUGGCGAACGGGUGAGUAACACGUGAGUAACCUGCCCUUGACUUUGGGAUAACUUCAGGAAACUGGGGCUAAUACCGGAUAGGAGCUCCUGCUGCAUGGUGGGGGUUGGAAAGUUUCGGCGGUUGGGGAUGGACUCGCGGCUUAUCAGCUUGUUGGUGGGGUAGUGGCUUACCAAGGCUUUGACGGGUAGCCGGCCUGAGAGGGUGACCGGCCACAUUGGGACUGAGAUACGGUCCAGACUCCUACGGGAGGCAGCAGUGGGGAAUAUUGCACAAUGGGCGGAAGCCUGAUGCAGCAACGCCGUGUGCGGGAUGACGGCCUUCGGGUUGUAAACCGCUUUCGCCUGUGACGAAGCGUGAGUGACGGUAAUGGGUAAAGAAGCACCGGCUAACUACGUG